AUUGAACGCUGGCGGCAUGCUUUACACAUGCAAGUCGAACGGCAGCGCGGGCUUCGGCCUGGCGGCGAGUGGCGAACGGGUGAGUAAUACAUCGGAACGUGCCCAGUAGUGGGGGAUAGCUCGGCGAAAGCCGGAUUAAUACCGCAUACGACCUGAGGGUGAAAGCGGGGGAUCUUCGGACCUCGCGCUAUUGGAGCGGCCGAUGGCAGAUUAGCUAGUUGGUGGGGUAAAGGCCUACCAAGGCGACGAUCUGUAGCUGGUCUGAGAGGACGACCAGCCACACUGGGACUGAGACACGGCCCAGACUCCUAAGGGAGGCAGCAGUGGGGAAUUUUGGACAAUGGGCGAAAGCCUGAUCCAGCAAUGCCGCGUGUGUGAUGAAGGCCUUCGGGUUGUAAAGCACUUUUGGCGGGAACGAAAAGGACUGUGCCAAUACCACGGUUCGAUGACGGUACCCGCAGAAUAAGCACCGGCUAAAUACGUG
rnacentral:rRNA from 1 species